GGUGAUUGGUUUCGGCCGGCUCCUCCUGGACCUCCUCCAUCCAUAUCUUCUCUCCGUGGGCCUUCAUGAAAAAUCCAUCCUUUCUUUCUCCUACGUUUUAAACCCGCCGCCUGCUGCCAUCCUCGUUUGAAACCAAUUUCAUAAAACCCGCGAGAAAGACCUAGCGAGGUUCGUUUCUUUCCGCCAUCGUUUCAUCAGCAUCUCGCCGGCUAAACCUCCUCGUCCGAUGCCCCCAUCUAGGCUGUCGAUUAGUGAGAACUGAGUAAGGAGAAAUCCUACUGCAUAAUUUUGCUUCUUGACAUGGACCAGUGCAAUCCAGAACUGGAGUCAACAAAGUCCUUACAAAUCACUACAAAAAUAAACAAGGAAAUGGCUUCAAAAAAGAUGCCCUCUAGAACUGCCCAAAUUCGUCUCAUGAGUUCACAUGAGGAUGUUUAUGAACCGUGUGAUGAUUCUUUUGCAUUGGUUGAUGCUCUUCUAGCUGACCGCAAUAACCUGUUGAAGCACUGCCCUGAAUUGUGUAUGGAGAUAGGCUGUGGUAGUGGAUAUGUUAUUACUUCCCUAGCUCUUAUGCUUGGGCAGGAAGGUCUUGCUGUUAAUUAUAUUGCAACAGACAUCAACCCACAAGCAGUAAGAGUGACCCGGGAGACAAUGGAUGCACAUGGGGUUGAUGCUGAGUUGAUAAUCACAGAUAUAGCAUCAGGACUGGAGAAGCGUCUAGCAGGAUUGGUCGAUGUCAUUGUUGUGAACCCUCCAUAUGUGCCUACCCCUGAAGACGAAGUAGGUAUUGGGGGUAUUGCUGCUUCUUGGGCUGGUGGAGAGAAUGGCCGGAGUGUUAUUGAUAGGAUAUUGCCAGUUGCAGAUCAUCUUUUGUCAGAAAAGGGAUGGUUGUACAUGGUCACCCUCACAGCAAACAACCCCUCUGAGAUAUGCCUUUAUAUGAGGGAGAAGGGAUAUGCAUCAAGGAUUGUCAUUCAAAGGUCAACGGAGGAAGAAAGUCUCCAUAUCAUCAAGUUCUGGCGGGAUCUUGAUGCAGAAGAAGGUGAUAAUGAGAAGGUUUCAGCAGACAAAUCUGUUCCUGGUAGGCUCAUGGAUUAUGUGCUGACGCAACUUCCUUCCUUUUCAUUCUGGAGAAGCAGUGAUAGUGAUAAUAAAUGAUGACUCAGACGAGGCAUAAAGUUUACUUUUUCGCUGGAGUUAAUGCUGCAUCCUGCCCCAAUAAGUAGCAAACACGAGUUGGAUGAAAUCCUACCAAAAUGCAUUGGGACUAUAUGUAUAUUAAUAUACAGGAAAUGAAGUCCUUGUUAGUGUGUUUCAAAGAAGUGAUCUGACGAGCUUCUGGUUUUGUGCUUGCAAUUACAAAGAAUGAUAUGAUUCAGUUGGAGUCGAUUUGGAGCACAUGAUUAAAUUUAUCCAGGGAAAUCCCGAAUACUGCUGGUUGGAAAUGGCUUACUCAGGUUUCGACUUUAUUAUGGACAAAAUUUCAACGUGUACGUAAUUGAUCGCAUAAUUAGGCUUCUAAAACAAUGGAAAAAAGUGUCGCGCAUUUUACUGAGAA